UACGAAGGGGGCUAGCGUUGCUCGGAAUCACUGGGCGUAAAGCGCACGUAGGCGGAUUGCUAAGUCAGGGGUGAAAUCCUGGAGCUCAACUCCAGAACUGCCUUCGAAACUGGCGAUCUUGAGUCCGGGAGAGGUGAGUGGAACUGCGAGUGUAGAGGUGAAAUUCGUAGAUAUUCGCAAGAACACCAGUGGCGAAGGCGGCUCACUGGCCCGGUACUGACGCUGAGGUGCGAAAGCGUGGGGAGCAAACAGG
rnacentral:rRNA from 1 species